rnacentral:rRNA from 1 species
UACAGAGGUCUCAAGCGUUUGUUCGGAUUUAUUGGGCGUAAAGGGCGCGUAGGCGGCGGGGUAAGUCGGGUGUGAAAUCUCAGGGCUCAACCCUGAAACUGCACUUGAUACUGCUCUGCUUGAGGACUGGAGAGGAGACUGGAAUUCACGGUGUAGCAGUGAAAUGCGUAGAUAUCGUGAGGAAGACCAGUGGCGAAGGCGGGUCUCUGGACAGUUCCUGACGCUGAGGCUGCGAAAGCGUGGGGAGCAAACAGGG